CCCAAGCCCUGCACGUCCCAGGUUGCCGCGGGGUUGGACGUUACGCUGUCGUCCACUAACCCAAACUGCUGAUGCCUCUGGCUCUCCGGCGGGAGUCGGCCGUUUAGCUGUACGCCUCACUGCCAGGGUACAGGCGCCGGGAGUUUCUCAAACAAGAUUCCGCUUCUUAGGGCGGUAACGGCGUGCAUGGGGUGGGGUGGGGCGGUGAGAGAAGCGGAGCCGCUGUAAACCAUGCUAGUGAGCUGCGAGUCCGUCUAUGGAGAGGGCCAACUUCGCGAGACCGCGAGCAGUUCGAGCCUGUGCCGGGAAGCUCCCAAGCGACGCCACGGGCCGAAAACUACAUUUCCCGGCAUCCUCUUGGCGCCAGAACUACGUUGCCCGAAAGGCUGAGCGCGAUUCGCUCCGUUUUCUCACCCGGCUGCCUCCGGCUGGAAAACCCGUGAAAUGUGGGGCCGCUGGGUUCGUCCGCUCCUGCGUUCUGAGGUUUCGAGCCCCUGUGGGCGUUUUUCUUCGGCCCUGCGAAGAGGAAGUAACAGUACAACAGCUAAUGGCUCAUUUGGACUCCAUCAGGAAAGACAUGGUCAUCCUAGAGAAAAGUGAAUUUGCAAAUCUGCGAGCAGAGAACCAGAAAAUGAAAAUUGAAUUAGAACAAGUUAAACAACAACUGAUAAAUGAAACUAGUCGAAUCAGAGCAGAUAACAAACUGGAUAUCAACCUAGAAAGGAGCAGAGUAACAGAUAUGUUUACAGAUCAAGAAAAGAAACUUAUGGAAGCAACCACAGAAUUUACCAGAAAUGAUACCAAAACCAGAGGUAUUAUUUCAGAGACUGGUAACAAAAUUGACACUGAAAUUGCUUCUUUAAAAACCCUGAUGGAAUCCAACAAGCUUGAGACAAUUCGUUAUCUUGCAGCCUCAGUGUUUACUUGCCUGGCAAUAGCAUUGGGAUUUUAUCGACUCUGGAAAUAACAGUGGAACUGCUGUAGCUAUGCAUGCUCCUACUCCUGCUGCUUUGACUCUUGAAACACUGCCUGGAUGGAUUUACUCUGGAUGGAUUUACUCUGAACAUUUAAAGUUACAGUAGGAACUGAAUACACGAUUAUUUAAAGUACAUAUGGACUAAAAGGAAAUAUUUUAGAACGGAAAGUACAUUUACUCACUCAAAUAAGAAUGCCUGCUAUGGACAUGCUGGUCCCCACAUGCAGCGCUUCCCAUGGAACUGAGGAUCUCAGUUGAAGAUAGACAGUAAAAAGGUAAGUUAUUCAUUUGCACAAUUUAAAAGACGCUAAAAUUUUAAGAGGGACCAUGUCUUCCCUCCAUGUGAAGGAAGUUCCAAUAGCAUAACACUGGAACCACUCAGCUGCCCUGCCACAGGUGGUUCAGUGAGAUUAAAGAAGCAGGCCCUGGUAGCCCAGCCACUUCUCCCCACUCCUGUCUGGGACCAGCCUUUCUACACACAGUGCUUAUUCCAUUCUGCUCCUGUGGGAUCAAGCCCUGGUGACUAGUUCAGAGCACAGGUACUCGGCAAGCCACCAGCGUGCAAGCCACUGGAGCUGCAGCCCUGGGGCCCACGAGUGGCCCAGAGGCCCUCAGGCACACACACACAUGCGGUUCUAGUUGAAAAGUCCACCAGAGCAGGAGCCUGCCAGAGUGCAUCCCAGCACCGCAGCGGGACAGCCAGCCGUCAGCACAGCCUGCAGCCCCACCUGCACAUGCACACAAGCAGUCGUGGCCUGGACCCUGCUCCAGACCCGCUGGGCUUUUCCUGCGCGGCCAGACUGAGUCCCCUCCUCAGGUCUCGGCUGAAGCCCAGGUUUCCGCACCCAGAUGCUACGCACGCCAGCAGGUAUGAGUCUUGGGCUGGAAGUGUGGGGACAUGGCCAGGACCUUCCAUGUUGGUCCCUCUGUGCCCUUCAGCUCCGUGGGCCAACUCCACCCUGCCCUCCAGCCCCUGAGGUGCCCUACCUGUCCCUGCCAGCCCGCCAGCCCCGCAGGAGGCUCCUGCCUCGCGGGCAUUCUUCCACAGUACAUGCCCAGGCGUGCAGGUCCCGUCCCAAUUCCUCUUCUCCCUUUCCCUUCAUCCUCCCAGUUAUGUGGGGAUUGGAGCUUUGGUUCUAUGAGAUCUGCAAGCAUUUGUAGGUAUUCUGUGAGAACUGUUCCACAUGUUGAUGCAUUUUUUGAUGUAUUUGUGGGAGGAAGUGAGCUCCAUGAUCCUGUCCUUCAAGCCAUUCUGAACUGGAGUCCCAGUAUUUUCUCAAUAUAAAGGAAAAAAUGAGGCAGUGGAAACGGCUAUGCACAAACAUUGAGAUUAGUGACUGUCAUUCUGUAAAACAGCCACACUGACUAUACAACAUGAAUAUGCUAAAUAAUAUAUAUCAACUCACCUGUUCGUCACAGCAGUCCUCUUAGGUGGUUAUCCUCAGUUUACAGCUAAAGAAACAAGCUAAGUGAAAUUAAGGUCACACCGGUGAAGCUGCCAAGGUCACACACUGGGUUCACUCCUGGCGGUGUCCAGUGACUCACUGACGUACCGCAUUGCAGAAGAAAGGGGCAAGAUGUGGGCAAACCCCUUCCCUUCAGGGACAUGGCCACAAGGUUAUACAUGGCAUUUCUGCUCACGCUCUUAUCGGCCACAACUGGGCAUCUUAGCUGCAAAGGAAACUAAGUCAGCCCUUAGCCUGAGUUGCCACAAGCCCAGAUGGAGAUAUGGCCCUGAGGAAACUGGAACAAGUACAACAAAGUGUGAGAAAACUGAGUGAAUAGAAGAAACUGUUCCAGGGCGGGAUUGCCUUACAGUUACCAGGCUUGAAGGAAAAAGUAAGGCUGUGUGAAGUCCCCGAAGGGGAGGGAAAUGUUGGACUUGGGAAUUCCAGUUGUGAUAAAGAAGAAUGCAGACUCUGAAAUUUCGCUCCUCAGGUUAGAAUCCUAGCUCCACGUUGCUGUGUGACUCUGGGCGAAUUCCUUAACCUCCAUGUAUCAAGUACUACACCUCCAUCAUGUAAGCUGUGGUGGGAAUUAAGCAGUAAUGUGAAGAACUUACACAGAUCACACACAAAGUGCCCAAUAAAUGCUGACAACCGUUUUUACUACAGAUUGAAAGCCUGUUGCAUGAUAAUGACUAUAAGGGUUAUAGAAAGGAUAGGUAAGCCACUUUUUAACACUUGCUUAUAGCCCUUGACAAGCCUAAACAAGUCUUAGCAACCAGAUGCACUCAUGUCAGAGCAUUCAAGUCCUGGUGAUACUGGGCCAAAAUGGCCUUCAGCACCAUGUAAAGUAUCUGCCAGGGCCUAGAGGCUGGACAGUCUGGGGUGUGGUGAGAAGGCUGCUGCCAGUGAAGCAAAGGCUUUGGGCUUGAUUAUCAUUGGAUAUGAUUAUCAUCCUGUCCAAUCAACCUUGUCUAUUAGUCCUUUCUUAUAAAGCUUGCAAGACAGAACAAUGGCUGAAUUCUAAAGCAGAUUAUUUAGAUGUGUAUUUUUAGCAAACACAUGUAUUUUUUCUUUUUACAAGAGCUGAUUUUCAUUUUAUGUAAACUUCCCUGGAGAUAUUUGGUUGUUAUUAUAAAGUGCUUUUCUAAAACUUA